UACGUAGGGGGCUAGCGUUGUCCGGAAUCAUUGGGCGUAAAGCGCGCGUAGGCGGUCCGGCAAGUCCGCUGUGAAAGCCGGGGGCUCAACCCUCGGAUGCCGGUGGAUACUGUCGGGCUUGAGUACGGAAGAGGCGAGUGGAAUUCCUGGUGUAGCGGUGAAAUGCGCAGAUAUCAGGAGGAACACCAAUUGCGAAGGCAGCUCGCUGGGACGUUACUGACGCUGAGACGCGGAAGCGUGGGGAGCAAACAGG
rnacentral:rRNA from 1 species